UCAAGCGUUUGGAGAUUUCUGAUACAAA
rnacentral:sRNA from 1 species